rfam:Photorhabdus luminescens subsp. laumondii TTO1 complete genome
ACCUGCACUGGCUGCCCGGUCACAAAGCCCGCUUCUUCCAGCCAAUUACCUUUAAGAUGCAAGCUGGGAUGCUGGCUGUAAUAGCGGGUCAUGCCAGUGUGGCGGUCGGCGUGACAUCGGCUG